rnacentral:rRNA from 1 species
CCUACGGGAGGCAGCAGUGAGGAAUAUUGGUCAAUGGACGAGAGUCUGAACCAGCCAAGUAGCGUGAAGGAUGACUGCCCUAUGGGUUGUAAACUUCUUUUAUAUGGGAAUAAAAUGUUCCACGUGUGGGAUUUUGUAUGUACCAUAUGAAUAAGGAUCGGCUAACUCCGUGCCAGCAGCCGCGGUAAUACGGAGGAUCCGAACGUUAUCCGGAUUUAUUGGGUUUAAAGGGAGCGUAGGUGGAUUGUUAAGUCAGUUGUGAAAGUUUGCGGUUCAACCGUAAAAUUGCAGUUGAAACUGGCAGUCUUGAGUACAGUAGAGGUGGGCGGAAUUCGUGGUGUAGCGGUGAAAUGCUUAGAUAUCACGAAGAACUCCGAUUGCGAAGGCAGUUCACUGGACUGCAACUGACACUGAGGCUCGAAAGUGUGGGUAUCAAACAGGAUUAGAGACCCGAGUAGUC